ACAAAAACACCAAGAAACUUUCUCUCUAUUUGCUCCAAGAUCAAACUCCAUUCUUUCAAUUCUUUUCUCAAGAACAACAACAACUUCAUAACAACUUUUCAAAAAAGGGUCAAGAACACAAGCUCAAUUCUCCUUGUCUUCUCUGACCACCACUAUUCCGUACUCCUUCCAGUCACCUCCUGCCACUGCUGGCCACCGCUUCCCGCUGGAAAAUCGUUGUUUUCCUCCUCCUUGAAGCCGCAACCGCGACACUUCUAUACUCUCUCUGUUUCGCGAAUUCCGCCAACCUCUGGCCUCCGUUCUCCACUCUGA